GACGAACGCUGGCGGCGUGCUUAACACAUGCAAGUCGAACGGAAAGGCCUCUUUCGUGGGGUACUCGAGUGGCGAACGGGUGAGUAACACGUUAGUAACCUGCCCUUUACUUUGGGUUAACUUCAUUAAACUGGGGCUAAUACCUGAUAGGAGCUCCUUCUACAUGGUUGGUUUUGGAAAGUUUCGGGGGUUUGGUAUGGACUCUCGGGUUAUCAGCUUGUUUGUUGGUUAGUGGGUUACCAAGGCUUUGACGGGUAGCCGGACAGAGAGGGUGACCGGCCACAUUGGGACUGAGAUACGGCACAGACUGCUACGGGAGGCAGAAGUGGGGAAUAUUGCACAAUGGGUGGAAGACUGAUGCAGAAAGGCAGUGGGCGGGAUGACGGCCUUCGGGUUGUAAAAAGCAUUCGCUAAUGACGAAGCUUUGUGUGACGGUAGUGGGUAAAGAAGCAACGGCUAACUACGUG
rnacentral:rRNA from 1 species